AGAGUUUGAUCCUGGCUCAGGAUGAACGCUGGCGGCGUGCUUAACACAUGCAAGUCGAACGAUCCUUCGGGAUAGUGGCGGACGGGUGAGUAACGCGUGGGAAUCUGCCCUCAGGAGGGGGAUAACGGCUGGAAACGGCCGCUAAUACCCCAUAUGCCGAGAGGUGAAAUGAAUUUCGCCUGAGGAUGAGCCCGCGUCUGAUUAGCUAGUUGGUGGGGUAAAGGCCUACCAAGGCAACGAUCAGUAGCUGGUCUGAGAGGAUGAUCAGCCACACUGGGACUGAGACACGGCCCAGACUCCUACGGGAGGCAGCAGUGGGGAAUUUUCCGCAAUGGGCGAAAGCCUGACGGAGCAACGCCGCGUGAGGGAUGAAGGCCUCUGGGCUGUAAACCUCUUUUCUCAAGGAAGAAGACCUGACGGUACUUGAGGAAUAAGCCACGGCUAAUUCCGUGCCAGCAGCCGCGGUAAUACGGGAGUGGCAAGCGUUAUCCGGAAUUAUUGGGCGUAAAGCGUCCGCAGGCGGCCUUGUAAGUCUGUUGUUAAAGCGUGGAGCUCAACUCCAUUUAAGCAAUGGAAACUACAAGGCUGGAGUGUGGUAGGGGCAGAGGGAAUUCCCGGUGUAGCGGUGAAAUGCGUAGAUAUCGGGAAGAACACCAGUGGCGAAGGCGCUCUGCUGGGCCAUAACUGACGCUCAUGGACGAAAGCCAGGGGAGCGAAAGGGAUUAGAUACCCCUGUAGUCCUGGCCGUAAACGAUGAACACUAGGUGUCGGGGGAAUCGACCCCCUCGGUGUCGUAGCCAACGCGUUAAGUGUUCCGCCUGGGGAGUACGCACGCAAGUGUGAAACUCAAAGGAAUUGACGGGGGCCCGCACAAGCGGUGGAGUAUGUGGUUUAAUUCGAUGCAACGCGAAGAACCUUACCAGGGUUUGACAUCCUGCGAACCCCUGAGAAAUCGGGGGGUGCCUUCGGGAGCGCAGAGACAGGUGGUGCAUGGCUGUCGUCAGCUCGUGUCGUGAGAUGUUGGGUUAAGUCCCGCAACGAGCGCAACCCACGUCUUUAGUUGCCAGCAUUCAGUUGGGCACUCUAGAGAGACCGCCGGUGAUAAACCGGAGGAAGGUGUGGAUGACGUCAAGUCAUCAUGCCCCUUACAUCCUGGGCUACACACGUACUACAAUGCUACGGACAAAGGGCAGCAAGCUCGCGAGAGUUAGCAAAUCCCAUAAACCGUGGCUCAGUUCAGAUCGUAGGCUGCAACUCGCCUACGUGAAGGAGGAAUCGCUAGUAAUCGCAGGUCAGCAUACUGCGGUGAAUACGUUCCCGGGCCUUGUACACACCGCCCGUCACACCAUGGAAGUUGGCCAUGCCCGAAGUCGUUACUCCAACCCUUGUGGAGGAGGACGCCGAAGGUGGGGCUGAUGACUGGGGUG
rnacentral:rRNA from 1 species